GGCCGCCUCUGCACCUGCCACCGAGACAAACUUUUUUCAACCCAAAGGGCGCGCGAGUUUUUUUGUCGAGACCAAGGGCGCCGGGCAAGGGCGGGGUCCCCAUACGAGGCCCGCUACUGCGCCUUUUGCGCAACUACUGAUUUGAAUUGGCCGCACUCACCCUUGUCGGCACCUGCACGCCCAACUCGACUCAACCAAGUUGGUGGGCAAAGGCGGAAAAAAAAAGACAAACACCGACCAUGUCAUCACCCCCACCCCAAAGAUGUGGUCUCGCGCCUCGAUCACACCGAGCAAGACGACGCGCGAGGAGAAAAAGGAGCCCAAGGGAUAAAAAAGACAAAAGAAUGUCGCCGGGAUUGAUGUGGAUAUUUUUUGUCGGCUGGGUCAGCCGCUGCCCGUUGGCGAGCCACGCGCCCAUCUUUUUCGCCAUCAAAAAGACUUGACCGCACUCUUUUUCUCUGUCUCUCUUUUUUUCUCUGCCACAAAAAAAAACUCGGCG
rnacentral:lncRNA from 1 species